AGACCGGUGCACGGGUGCGUAACGCGUAUGCAAUCUACCUUUCACAGAGGGAUAGCCCAGAGAAAUUUGGAUUAAUACCUCAUAGUAUAUCGAGUUGGCAUCAACAUGAUAUUAAAGUCACAACGGCGAAAGAUGAGCAUGCGUCCCAUUAGCUAGUUGGUAAGGUAACGGCUUACCAAGGCAACGAUGGGUAGGGGUCCUGAGAGGGAGAUCCCCCACACUGGUACUGAGACACGGAUCAGACUCCUACGGGAGGCAGCAGUGAGGAAUAUUGGACAAUGGGCGCAAGCCUGAUCCAGUCAUGCCGUGUGCAGGAUGACGGUCCUAUGGAUUGUAAACUGCUUUUGUACAGGAAGAAACACCUCUACGUGUAGAGACUUGACGGUACUGUAAGAAUAAGGAUCGGCUAACUCCGUGCCAGUAGUCGCGGUAAUACGGAGGAUCCAAGCGUUAUCCGGAAUCAUUGGGUUUAAAGGGUCCGUAGGCGGUCAGAUAAGUCAGUGGUGAAAGCCCAUCGCUCAACGGUGGAACGGUCAUUGAUACUGUCUGACUUGAAUUAUUAGGAAGUAACUAUAAUAUGU
rnacentral:rRNA from 1 species